rnacentral:rRNA from 1 species
CAGGCUUAACACAUGCAAGUCGAGGGGCAGCAUGGUCUUAGCUUGCUAAGGCCGAUGGCGACCGGCGCACGGGUGAGUAACACGUAUCCAACCUGCCGUCUACUCUUGGACAGCCUUCUGAAAGGAAGAUUAAUACAAGAUGGCAUCAUGAGUCCACAUGUUCACAUGAUUAAAGGUAUUCCGGUAGACGAUGGGGAUGCGUUCCAUUAGAUAGUAGGCGGGGUAACGGCCCACCUAGUCUUCGAUGGAUAGGGGUUCUGAGAGGAAGGUCCCCCACAUUGGAACUGAGACACGGUCCAAACUCCUACGGGAGGCAGCAGUGAGGAAUAUUGGUCAAUGGGCGAGAGCCUGAACCAGCCAAGUAGCGUGAAGGAUGACUGCCCUAUGGGUUGUAAACUUCUUUUAUAAAGGAAUAAAGUCGGGUAUGGAUACCCGUUUGCAUGUACUUUACGAAUAAGGAUCGGCUAACUCCGUGCCAGCAGCCGCGGUAAUACGGAGGAUCCGAGCGUUAUCCGGAUUUAUUGGGUUUAAAGGGAGCGUAGAUGGAUGUUUAAGUCAGUUGUGAAAGUUUGCGGCUCAACCGUAAAAUUGCAGUUGAUACUGGAUAUCUUGAGUGCAGUUGAGGCAGGCGGAAUUCGUGGUGUAGCGGUGAAAUGCUUAGAUAUCACGAAGAACUCCGAUUGCGAAGGCAGCCUGCUAAGCUGCAACUGACAUUGAGGCUCGAAAGUGUGGGUAUCAAACAGGAUUAGAUACCCUGGUAGUCCACACGGUAAACGAUGAAUACUCGCUGUUUGCGAUAUACAGCAAGCGGCCAAGCGAAAGCGUUAAGUAUUCCACCUGGGGAGUACGCCGGCAACGGUGAAACUCAAAGGAAUUGACGGGGGCCCGCACAAGCGGAGGAACAUGUGGUUUAAUUCGAUGAUACGCGAGGAACCUUACCCGGGCUUAAAUUGCAGAUGAAUUACGGUGAAAGCCGUAAGCCGCAAGGCAUCUGUGGAGGUGCUGCAUGGUUGUCGUCAGCUCGUGCCGUGAGGUGUCGGCUUAAGUGCCAUAACGAGCGCAACCCUUGUUGUCAGUUACUAACAGGUUCCGCUGAGGACUCUGACAAGACUGCCAUCGUAAGAUGUGAGGAAGGUGGGGAUGACGUCAAAUCAGCACGGCCCUUACGUCCGGGGCUACACACGUGUUACAAUGGGGGGUACAGAGGGCCGCUACCACGCGAGUGGAUGCCAAUCCCAAAAACCUCUCUCAGUUCGGACUGGAGUCUGCAACCCGACUCCACGAAGCUGGAUUCGCUAGUAAUCGCGCAUCAGCCACGGCGCGGUGAAUACGUUCCCGGGCCUUGUGCACACCGCCCGUCAAGCCAUGGGAGCCGGGGGUACCUGAAGUGCGUAACCGCGAGGAGCGCCCUAGGGUAAAACUGGUGACUGG